rnacentral:rRNA from 1 species
UACGUAGGGGGCUAGCGUUAUCCGGAAUUACUGGGCGUAAAGGGUGCGUAGGCGGUCUUUCAAGCCAGAAGUGAAGGGCUACGGCUCAACCGUAGUAAGCUUUUGGAACUGUAGGACUUGAGUGCAGGAGAGGAGAGUGGAAUUCCUAGUGUAGCGGUGAAAUGCGUAGAUAUUAGGAGGAACACCAGUAGCGAAGGCGGCAUCCUGGACCGACAUUGACGCUGAACGGCGAAAGCUAGGGGAGCAAACGGG